rnacentral:rRNA from 1 species
GACGAACGCUGGCGGCGUGCCUAAUACAUGCAAGUUGAGCGCUGAAGGUUGGUACUUGUACCCACUGGAUGAGCAGCGAACGGGUGAGUAACGCGUGGGGAAUCUGCCUUUGAGCGGGGGACAACAUUUGGAAACGAAUGCUAAUACCGCAUAAAAACUUUAAACACAAGUUUUAAGUUUGAAAGAUGCAAUUGCAUCACUCAAAGAUGAUCCCGCGUUGUAUUAGCUAGUUGGUGAGGUAAAGGCUCACCAAGGCGAUGAUACAUAGCCGACCUGAGAGGGUGAUCGGCCACAAUGGGACUGAGACACGGCCCAAACUCCUACGGGAGGCAGCAGUAGGGAAUCUUCGGAAAUGGACGAAAGUCUGACCGAGCAACGCCGCGUGAGGGAAGAAGGUUGUCGGAUCGUAAAACUCUGUUGGUAGAGAAGAACGUUGGUGAGAGUGGAAAGCUCAUCAAGUGACGGUAACUACACAGAAAGGGACGGCUAACUACGUG